rnacentral:rRNA from 1 species
UACGUAGGUCCCGAGCGUUGUCCGGAUUUAUUGGGCGUAAAGCGAGCGCAGGUGGUUUAUUAAGUCUGGUGUAAAAGGCAGUGGCUCAACCAUUGUAUGCAUUGGAAACUGGUAGACUUGAGUGCAGGAGAGGAGAGUGGAAUUCCAUGUGUAGCGGUGAAAUGCGUAGAUAUAUGGAGGAACACCGGUGGCGAAAGCGGCUCUCUGGCCUGUAACUGACACUGAUGCACGAAAGCAUGGGGAGCAAACAGG